rnacentral:rRNA from 1 species
GAAUAUUGGACAAUGGGCGAAAGCCUGAUCCAGCCAUGCCGCGUGUGUGAAGAAGGUCUUCGGAUUGUAAGGCACUUUAAGUUGGGAGGAAGGGCAGUAAGCGAAUACCUUGCUGUUUUGACGUUACCGCCAGACUAAGCCCCGGCUAACUCUGUUCCAGCCGCCGCGGUAAUACAGAGGGUGCAAGCGGUCAUCGGAAUUACUGGGCGUAAAGCGCGCGUAGGUGGUUCGUUAAGUUGGAUGUGAAAUCCCCGGGCUCAAACUGGGAACCGCAUCCAAAACUGGCGAGCUAGAGUAGGGCAGAGGGUGGUGGAAUUUCCUGUGUAGCGGUGAAAUGCGUAGAUAUAGGAAGGAACACCAGUGGCGAAGGCGACCACCUGGGUUAAUACUGACACUGAGGUGCGAAAGCGUGGGGAGCAAACAG